AUUGAACGCUGGCGGCAUGCUUUACACAUGCAAGUCGAACGGCAGCACGGGGGCAACCCUGGUGGCGAGUGGCGAACGGGUGAGUAAUGCAUCGGAACGUGCCCUGUCGUGGGGGAUAACACAUCGAAAGAUGUGCUAAUACCGCAUACGACCUGAGGGUGAAAGCGGGGGACCGUAAGGCCUCGCCGGAUGGGAGGGGCGGAUGUCUGAUUAGCUAGUUGGUGGGGUAAAGGCCUACCAAGGCGACGAUCAGUAGCUGGUCUGAGAGGACGACCAGCCACACUGGGACUGAGACACGGCCCAGACUCCUACGGGAGGCAGCAGUGGGGAAUUUUGGACAAUGGGGGCAACCCUGAUCCAGCCGUGCCGCGUGCGGGAAGAAGGCCUUCGGGUUGUAAACCGCUUUUGGCAGGAACGAAACGGUGCGGGCGAAUACCCUGUGCUAAUGACGGUACCUGCAGAAUAAGCACCGGCUAACUACGUGCCAGCCGCCGCCGUAAGAC
rnacentral:rRNA from 1 species